rnacentral:rRNA from 1 species
AAUCGGGGCAGGGUGAGUCGACCCCUAAGGCGAGGCCGAAAGGCGUAGUCGAUGGGAAACAGGUUAAUAUUCCUGUACUUGGUGUUACUGCGAAGGGGGGACGGAGAAGGCUAUGUUGGCCGGGCGACGGUUGUCCCGGUUUAAGCGUGUAGGCUGGUUUUCCAGGCAAAUCCGGAAAAUCAAGGCUGAGGCGUGAUGACGAGGCACUACGGUGCUGAAGCAACAAAUGCCCUGCUUCCAGGAAAAGCCUCUAAGCAUCAGGUAACAUCAAAUCGUACCCCAAACCGACACAGGUGGUCAGGUAGAGAAUACCAAGGCGCUUGAGAGAACUCGGGUGAAGGAACUAGGCAAAAUGGUGCCGUAACUUCGGGAGAAGGCACGCUGAUAUGUAGGUGAAGCGACUUGCUCGUGGAGCUGAAAUCAGUCGAAGAUACCAGCUGGCUGCAACUGUUUAUUAAAAACACAGCACUGUGCAAACACGAAAGUGGACGUAUACGGUGUGACGCCUGCCCGGUGCCGGAAGGUUAAUUGAUGGGGUUAGCGGUAACGCGAAGCUCUUGAUCGAAGCCCCGGUAAACGGCGGCCGUAACUAUAACGGUCCUAAGGUAGCGAAAUUCCUUGUCGGGUAAGUUCCGACCUGCACGAAUGGCGUAAUGAUGGCCAGGCUGUCUCCACCCGAGACUCAGUGAAAUUGAACUCGCUGUGAAGAUGCAGUGUACCCGCGGCAAGACGGAAAGACCCCGUGAACCUUUACUAUAGCUUGACACUGAACAUUGAGCCUUGAUGUGUAGGAUAGGUGGGAGGCUUAGAAGUGUGGACGCCAGUCUGCAUGGAGCCGACCUUGAAAUACCACCCUUUAAUGUUUGAUGUUCUAACGUUGGCCCCUGAUCGGGGUUGCGGACAGUGUCUGGUGGGUAGUUUGACUGGGGCGGUCUCCUCCUAAAGAGUAACGGAGGAGCACGAAGGUUGGCUAAUCCUGGUCGGACAUCAGGAGGUUAGUGCAAUGGCAUAAGCCAGCUUGACUGCGAGCGUGACGGCGCGAGCAGGUGCGAAAGCAGGUCAUAGUGAUCCGGUGGUUCUGAAUGGAAGGGCCAUCGCUCAACGGAUAAAAGGUACUCCGGGGAUAACAGGCUGAUACCGCCCAAGAGUUCAUAUCGACGGCGGUGUUUGGCACCUCGAUGUCGGCUCAUCACAUCCUGGGGCUGAAGUAGGUCCCAAGGGUAUGGCUGUUCGCCAUUUAAAGUGGUACGCGAGCUGGGUUUAGAACGUCGUGAGACAGUUCGGUCCCUAUCUGCCGUGGGCGCUGGAGAACUGAGGGGGGCUGCUCCUAGUACGAGAGGACCGGAGUGGACGCAUCACUGGUGUUCGGGUUGUCAUGCCAAUGGCACUGCCCGGUAGCUAAAUGCGGAAGAGAUAAGUGCUGAAAGCAUCUAAGCACGAAACUUGCCCCGAGAUGAGUUCUCCCUGACUCCUUGAGAGUCCUGAAGGAACGUUGAAGACGACGACGUUGAUAGGCCGGGUGUGUAAGCGCAGCGAUGCGUUGAGCUAACCGGUACUAAUGAACCGUGAGG